UACGGAGGGUGCGAGCGUUGUCCGGAAUCACUGGGCGUAAAGGGCGCGUAGGCGGCCUGAUAAGUAGGGGGUGAAAUCCUGCGGCUUAACCGCAGGGCUGCCUUCUAAACUGUCAGGCUAGAGCACAGUAGAGGCAGGUGGAAUUCCCGGUGUAGCGGUGAAAUGCGUAGAGAUCAGGAAGAACAUCGGUGGCGAAGGCGCUCUGCUGGACCAUAACUGACACUCAGGGACGAAAGCUAGGGGAGCGAAUGGG
rnacentral:rRNA from 1 species